UUCCAGCACCACGUACAGAAAGGACUCGAGUCCCUCGAUCGAAAUCCCAGAUCAGAUCGGAUCGUGGCGGCCGGCGGCCGGCGGCGCCACGACAGGUUGCCGGCCUGCAGUCCUCCUCACGGGACAAGCUGCGUUCGCGGUGCGCUCUCGCUGCCCGCCGGCUUCGACGGUGUGGGCCGGGGCGCCGCCCUUCCGCAGAUCCGCAAUUGAGUCGUGCGUCCGGUCUGCCGCCUCCCCUCGACGUCCACGGCUCUGUGCUCUUCCGUGUUCUCUCCUAGCGCAAGCUGCAGGGGCGCUACGCCGCUAUCUUCCGGCUCCUCAUACAAGAGCGAUGGACAAACUGAGCCCUGUGGGAAACAAUUGCAUCAGCUCAGCAACGUCCAGCGUUUCUCCUCUCUACGUUUCUUUGCACGCCUCAUCUCCAAGCACGAAGCCACGGCGAAAUGUGGGUCAUCAGCCUAAGGCAACAAGCCAAGAAUCGUGAGGGGAGAGAAUUUGACAUCAUAAAUGACUAUCUCUAGUGAAAAACACCAGCAAAGCAUCAUUCUGGAAAGAAGAUAUCAACAUUGGGAUUUGAAUCUUUCACAUUUUAUCACAAAGAAAGACAGCUAAAAACUCACUUCCAAUGGAUGUGGCACAAACGAAAGGAACCAAGCAGGACUGAGUGCAAGUCUUGUAUUCUUCAUCUGCAUAUAUUAAUAAUGUAGGGUCUAUGUACAGUUUAUUACACUCUGACUAUCUUGUAUGGACAAAAAUAAUCAUGAUUCAGAUCUUUUUAUAUAAUAAUUAGCGUGUGAAUUUUCUUGGGGUUGGCAAUUAGUAUAGGUAUAUAUCCGAUAAGGAUUAGGGUGCAAGUGAUGCAAAUUCACAUGAAGUUUAUUAUACAAUGCAAGCAAACAAUUGUAUAGACUCACAAAAUAAUGGAACCUUUUGUUCUUCAGGCAAGCUGGAAUGUUCUUGCAUCACCAGUGAAUGUGCUGCUAUCCAUAAUAUUGAUUUUAAUUUUAAAAUAAAUAAGUAGACAUCAAAAUAAACUCAUAAAAUAAUAGCACGGCCAAUACCACAAUUGAGUACGCUAGAUGGUCUCUCCUAAAAUAAUUUUGUGAUAUUUAAAUGAGCUAAAUAAUGAGUUUCACAUAUCUCUCUCAGUCUCUUGGUCAGAAAUAGUUCUGUAAUUUACAAGUCAUGAUAAACCUAGAACAUGAUAAAUCAAAAAUAACAUUUAUCUUACAAAUGUGAACCAUCUUUCAUAUUGUAGUAGUCAAACUUACAUAUUUUUUACUGCAUGUUUCGUAGUAGGACAUCUAUUUACGAAAUGGAAGGUAGCAUACUUGUGGCUGCACAAAUUAUAUUGUUUACAUCGAGCUAGUUUUUUUUGCUGCAUAUUUGGUAUUAGGACAUGUGUUUAUGAAACGGAAGGUAGCAUACUUGUGUCUGCACAAGCAAUUAUAUUGUUUACAUCGAGCUAAAAGAAUGACGGAAAAAAUAUUUACUUGCUAGACUAAAAGUGUAACAUCCCAAAUUUGCAAUUUGGAAUGUUAUACACUAGAUCAUCAUGCAUAUCAUAUUUUCAUGCAUUUUAGUUGAUCCUAGAAAUUUCACGCAACUCAAGGACCUUCGG